UACGGGGGGGCAAGCGUUGUUCGGAAUUACUGGGCGUAAAGGGCUUGUAGGUGGCCAACUAAGUCAGACGUGAAAUCCCUCGGCUUAACCGGGGAACUGCGUCUGAUACUGGAUGGCUAGAGUGUGGGAGAGGGAUGCGGAAUUCCAGGUGUAGCGGUGAAAUGCGUAGAUAUCUGGAGGAACACCGGUGGCGAAGGCGGCAUCCUGGACCACGACUGACACUGAAAGCGAAAGCCAGGGAGCAAACGGG
rnacentral:rRNA from 1 species